rnacentral:rRNA from 1 species
AACGAACGCUGGCGGCAUGCCUAACACAUGCAAGUCGAACGAGUGCCUUCGGGUGCUAGUGGCGCACGGGUGCGUAACGCGUGGGAAUCUGCCCUCAGGUUCGGAAUAACCAUUGGAAACGAUGGCUAAUACCGGAUGAUGACGAAAGUCCAAAGAUUUAUCGCCUGAGGAUGAGCCCGCGUAGGAUUAGCUAGUUGGUGUGGUAAAGGCGCACCAAGGCGACGAUCCUUAGCUGGUCUGAGAGGAUGAUCAGCCACACUGGGACUGAGACACGGCCCAGGCUCCGACGGGAGGCAGCAGCAGGGAAUAUUGCGCAAUGGGCGAAAGCCUGACGCAGUAACGCCGCGUGGGGGAUGAAGGCCCUCGGGUUGUAAACCCUUUUCAGCAGGGACGAAAUUGACGGUACCUGCAGAAGAAGCACCGGCCAACUACGUGCCAGCAGCCGCCGUAACAC